UACGGGGGAUGCAAGCGUUAUCCGGAAUGAUUGGGCGUAAAGGGUGCGUAGGCGGUUUGAUAAGUUAGAGGUGAAAUGUCGGGGCUCAACCCCGAAACUGCCUCUAAUACUGUUGGACUAGAGAAUAGUUGCGGUAGGCGGAAUGUAUGGUGUAGCGGUGAAAUGCUUAGAGAUCAUACAGAACACCGAUUGCGAAGGCAGCUUACCAAGCUACUUCUGACGUUGAGGCACGAAAGCGUGGGGAGCAAACAGG
rnacentral:rRNA from 1 species